AUUGAACGCUGGCGGCAGGCCUAACACAUGCAAGUCGAGCGGAUGAAGGGAGCUUGCUCCUGGAUUCAGCGGCGGACGGGUGAGUAAUGCCUAGGAAUCUGCCUGGUAGUGGGGGAUAACGUCCGGAAACGGGCGCUAAUACCGCAUACGUCCUGAGGGAGAAAGUGGGGGAUCUUCGGACCUCACGCUAUCAGAUGAGCCUAGGUCGGAUUAGCUAGUUGGUGGGGUAAAGGCCUACCAAGGCGACGAUCCGUAACUGUCUGAGAGAAUGAUCAGUCACACUGGAACUGAGACACGGUCCAGACUCCUACGGGAGGCAGCAGUGGGGAAUAUUGGACAAUGGGCGAAAGCCUGAUCCAGCCAUGCCGCGUGUGUGAAGAAGGUCUUCGGAUUGUAAAGCACUUUAAGUUGGGAGGAAGGGCAGUAAGUUAAUACCUUGCUGUUUUGACGUUACCAACAGAAUAAGCACCGGCUAACUUCGUG
rnacentral:rRNA from 1 species